UACAGAGGUCUCAAGCGUUGUUCGGAUUCAUUGGGCGUAAAGGGUGCGCAGGCGGUGGGGUAAGUCAGGUGUGAAAUCUCGGGGCUCAACCCCGAAACUGCACUUGAUACUGCCUUACUCGAGUACUGGAGAGGAGAUUGGAAUUUACGGUGUAGCAGUGAAAUGCGUAGAUAUCGUAAGGAAGACCAGUGGCGAAGGCGAAUCUCUGGACAGUUACUGACACUGAGGCACGAAGGCCAGGGGAGCAAACGGG
rnacentral:rRNA from 1 species